rnacentral:rRNA from 1 species
ACGGAGGGUGCAAGCGUUAUCCGGAUUUACUGGGUUUAAAGGGUGCGUAGGUGGGUAAGUAAGUCAGUGGUGAAAUCUCCGAGCUUAACUCGGAAACUGCCUUUGAUACUAUUUAUCUUGAAUAUCCUGGAGGUGAGCGGAAUAUGUCAUGUAGCGGUGAAAUGCUUAGAUAUGACAUAGAACACCAAUUGCGAAGGCAGCUCACUACGGGGUCAUUGACACUGAGGCACGAAAGCGUGGGGAUCAAACAGGA